GGCGAAGGAGGAGGCGGAGGAAGAGGCGAGGGCGCGAGAGAAGAGGCGGCGCUGCGGCUUCUCGCACAAAAUGGCCGAUGGAGACUAUUUAGCCGCGCCCGCGGCCCCUCCCACGUGACCGUCCCGCGCCGAGCAUCCUGGGACUUGUAGUUUUCUGGAGGCAGCAGAGCCCGGAAAGCCUGAGGCCGGGGGCGGCCGAGACCGCAAUUCCCGUCACGGAGUGCGUCCUCUAGCGCGGGGCGGAAGACCCGCGAAGUGUUCAAGCGGCCGCAGAGCGGCCCAGAGUUCGCAGGUCUGGGGCUCUCUUCCCAGAGAGCUCGUAGGGGAGGACAGUCAAGGGACUCAAGCGUCUCUCUUGACUCCCCUUCUCUCGCUGUGCAGUGGCGGCGCCGAGGGGUCGACGCUCAGGGCUAAUCUCUAUGAGUCACCCUCGAGGCCCCGGGUAAUAUUGGGUGGAUCACAAGAACUAAUCUUUCAUGAUUUGGAAACCGGAAGGAAAGAAGCACUUUUGUAGCUGACUUACCUCAAUGACAUGACCAGUGUCUGAGCCUACAACUGCGCUAUCUUCCCUGGAUUUUUCUUCACCUUUUCCUUACUCAUGAGCCAGAGAGACACUUAUAAUGCAGUAGUUGAAAACCUGCAAAUUGGAGUCAUGCUGUUUGGAUUUGAGGACCAGCUCUGCCUACAUUGGCUGUGGGGUCUUGAACAAGUCACUUAACUUCCCUGUCCAUCAAUGUUCUUAUCUGCAAAACAAAAUAAUGACAGUGUCUGGUAAUGCUGUUGGAGGAAAAAAUAAAAUAGUGCCUACAUAUGGA
rnacentral:lncRNA from 1 species